rnacentral:rRNA from 1 species
CCAAUAGCGUAUAUUAAAGUUGUUGCAGUUAAAAAGCUCGUAGUUGAAUUUCGGGAUCAAUAUGUUGGUCGUGCCUUUGGUACGUACUAGUUUAUUGGUUUCUUCCUUCUGACGAACCAUGAUGUCAUUAAUUUGGUGUCAUGGGGAAUCAGGACUGUUACUUUGAAAAAAUUAGAGUGUUUAAAGCAGGCUUCACGCUUGAAUACAUUAGCAUGGAAUAAUGAAAUAGGACGUUUGAUUCUAUUUUGUUGGUUUCUAGGAUCGACGUAAUGAUUAAUAGGGAUAGUUGGGGGCAUUAGUAUUCAAUUGUCAGAGGUGAAAUUCUUGGAUUUAUUGAAGACUAACUACUGCGAAAGCAUUUGCCAAGGAUGUUUUCAUUAAUCAAGAACGAAAGUUAGGGGAUCGAAGACGAUCAGAUACCGUCGUAGUCUUAACCAUAAACUAUGCCGACUAGGGAUCGGAUGAUGUUAAUUUUUUAAUGCCUCAUUCGGUGCCUUACG